UCCGUGGCGGAGGGAAGCAGGGACAGAAGCAGGGGUUCGUAGCGAGGCUUGGGAAACGCUGCCAGAAAGGCGACAGGGGUGAUUUUCUCUGGGGAGGUGGGUUGGUGUGUGUCUAGAAAUUGUCCGGGCUCAGCUUGGCUGGGAAGGAAAAGAAGAAGGGGAGAGGGAGAGAGAGGGAGAGAGGGAAAGAAAGAAAGAGAGAUAGAAAGAGAGAGAGAAAGAAAAGAAGGGGGAAGAGAGGGAAAGAAAAGAGGAGGGAAAGAAAGAAAGAGAGAGAAAAAGAGAGAGAGAAAGAAAAGAAGGAGGAAAAGAGGGAAAGAAAAGAAGAAGAGGAGAGAGAGAGGAAGAGAGAGGGAGAGAAAGGGGGAGAGGGAAAGAAAGAGAAAUAGAGAGAGAAAGAAAAGAAGGGGGGAAAGAGGGAAGAAAAGAGGGGAAAGAGAGAAAAGAGACGGAAGGAAAGAGGGAAAGAGAAAGGAGACGGAAGAAAAGAGGGAAAAGAGAGAAAGGAGACGGAAAGAAAGAGGGAAAAGAGAGAAAGGAGACGGAAAGAAAGAGGGAAAGAGAAAGGAGACGGAAAGAAAGAGGGAAAGAAAGAGGGAAAGAGGGGGGCAAAGAGGGGAAAGAGAGAAAGGAGACGGAAGGAAAGAGGGAAAGAGAAAGGAGACGGAAAGAAAGAGGGAAAAGAGAGAAAGGAGACGGAAAGAAAGAGGGAAAGAGAAAGGAGACAGAAAGAAAGAGGGAAAAGAGAGAAAGGAGACGGAAGGAAAGAGGGAAAGAGAAAGGAGACGGAAAGAAAGAGGGAAAAGAGAGAAAGGAGACGGAAAGAAAGAGGGAAAGAAAGAGGGAAAGGAGGGGAAGAGGGGGGCAAAGAGACAGAAGGAAAGAAAAAACAAAAAAGAAGGGAUUAAAAAAAAAAAAAGAAAUAAAGUGUGGAGGGGUAUCUAUCACUUUCUGGAGCCGGUGCGGAGAAGUCCGCUCCCAACUUGCCCCGCGCAGGGAGCGCAGCGCAGCGGCCGCCCCUCUCCCCGGCGGGUCCCUUCGUGCCAUCAUCAUUUUUGGGGAUGUUGAAUCCCAGGCAAGUCAUUACCACACUUUGGCCCCUCCGACUGCUGGAAUUACCCUUUCCAGGGACUUUAAUGGGCAAGCCAUAGGGUUGGUUUUUUUUUUUUUUUUUCGCUGAUCCGCAGCAGUUUUCGCUCCCUCCCCGUUUUUAUGGGUGUAUUAUAGUUAGGGGUUAUAUAAAUGUUUUUGCGUGUGAUAACUGUAAAUCCUAACAUUUGCAAAUGGCCCGGAGGCAAACUAACCUUGGACGGGCAGAGAGAGGGAGGGAGGGAGGGUCUCCCAUUACUGCUGAUUAAAAGGAG
rnacentral:lncRNA from 1 species